rnacentral:rRNA from 1 species
AUUGAACGCUGGCGGCAGGCCUAACACAUGCAAGUCGAGCGAGCGGCGGACUGGUGAGUAAUGUAUGGGAAACUGCCUGAUGGAGCGGGAUAACUACUGGAAACGGUAGCUAAUACCGCAUACCAUCAGAUGUGCCCAGAUGGGAUUAGCUAGUAGGUGGGGUAACGUCUCACCUAGGCGACGAGCACUAGCUGGUAUGAGAGGAUGACAAGCAAAACGGGAAAGGAGACACGGUCAAGACUCCUACGGGGGGCAGCAGUGGGGAAUAUUGCACAAUGGGAGAAAGCCUAAGGCAGACAUGCCGCGGGUGUGAAGAAGGCCUUAGGGUUGUAAAGCACUUUCAGCGGGGAGGCGUUACCGACAGAAGAAGCACCGGCUAACUCCGUGCCAGCAGCCGCGGUAAUUC